GGCAGGCCUAACACAUGCAAGUCGAACGGCAGCACGGACUUCGGUCUGGUGGCGAGUGGCGAACGGGUGAGUAAUAUAUCGGAACGUAUCCAAUAAUGGGGGAUAACUAAGCGAAAGCUUGGCUAAUACCGCAUACGCCCUUAGGGGGAAAGCAGGGGAUCUUCGGACCUUGCGUUAAUGGAGCGGCCGAUAUCUGAUUAGCUAGUUGGUGGGGUAAAGGCCCACCAAGGCUUCGAUCAGUAGCUGGUCUGAGAGGACGACCAGCCACACUGGAACUGAGACACGGUCCAGACUCCUACGGGAGGCAGCAGUGGGGAAUUUUGGACAAUGGGCGCAAGCCUGAUCCAGCCAUUCCGCGUGAGUGAAGAAGGCUUCGGGUUGUAAAGCUCUUUCGCAAGGGAAGAAACGUUACGGGCGAAUAACCCGUGAUAAUGACGGU
rnacentral:rRNA from 1 species